AAGGCCAUAGGUCUCGGUGGAGUGGGGAAAACUGUAACAGUUCAUAAAUCACAUGGGAUCAUGAGUUACUGCCUGGUUUUUCCCUGCUCUCCGAGACCUAAUAGCCUU
rfam:Picea glauca, whole genome shotgun sequence.